AGAGUUUGAUCAUGGCUCAGGAUGAACGCUGGCGGCGUGCCUAACACAUGCAAGUCGAGCGAUCUUCUUCGGAAGAGAGCGGCGGACGGGUGAGUAACGCGUGGGUAACCUGCCUCAUACACAUGGAUAACAUACCGAAAGGUAUGCUAAUACAAGAUGAUAUAAGAGAUUCGCAUGGAUUUCUUAUCAAAGCUCCGGCGGUAUGAGAUGGACCCGCGUCUGAUUAGCUAGUUGGUAAGGUAACGGCUUACCAAGGCAACGAUCAGUAGCCGACCUGAGAGGGUGAUCGGCCACAUUGGAACUGAGACACGGUCCAAACUCCUACGGGAGGCAGCAGUGGGGAAUAUUGCACAAUGGGCGAAAGCCUGAUGCAGCAACGCCGCGUGAGCGAUGAAGGCCUUCGGGUCGUAAAGCUCUGUCCUCAAGGAAGAUAAUGACGGUACUUGAGGAGGAAGCCCCGGCUAACUACGUGCCAGCAGCCGCGGUAAUACGUAGGGGGCUAGCGUUAUCCGGAUUUACUGGGCGUAAAGGGUGCGUAGGUGGUUUCUUAAGUCAGGAGUGAAAGGCUACGGCUCAACCGUAGUAAGCUCUUGAAACUGGGAAACUUGAGUGCAGGAGAGGAAAGUGGAAUUCCUAGUGUAGCGGUGAAAUGCGUAGAUAUUAGGAGGAACACCAGUAGCGAAGGCGGCUUUCUGGACUGUAACUGACACUGAGGCACGAAAGCGUGGGGAGCAAACAGGAUUAGAUACCCUGGUAGUCCACGCCGUAAACGAUGAGUACUAGGUGUCGGGGGUUACCCCCCUCGGUGCCGCAGCUAACGCAUUAAGUACUCCGCCUGGGGAGUACGCUCGCAAGAGUGAAACUCAAAGGAAUUGACGG
rnacentral:rRNA from 1 species